rnacentral:lncRNA from 1 species
AUUUAUUAGUUCCUUUUACCAGAGUGUAAAUUUAGAUUAAGAUUCUGUUUUCUCAUCUCUAGAACUACAUAGUCUUCAUGAUAGAGUCUCAGCAAUUCUCUCCUGAUGCUAAUGCAGAGUUUGGGAGCACAAAGGAAGGAGUAAUGAACUCUCCCUGGGAGGUUGGAGAAGUGACAAUGUUGGAGAUCCAUCAAGAAGGACAGCGAAGAGUUGGCUUGGGGAAGAGGGGAAGGGUAUGGCAUGCAGAGUGCUAAGGAGAGUAUAGUGAUGCCCUUUAAAAGGCCUGUGGAAUGUGGAGAUGACUUAAACGUGUACAGCUGGGAGAAUGCUUUAUCAUAUUAGAUGUGUAUAAAAGCAAAGACUGUUUCCUCUUUCAUCCUUUAUGCUUGCUGCUUCUCAAACGUGCUGUUCGUUCACAUCCAUGCCUUUGUUCUGCUGGUUCCUUCUGCCUGGAAUACCUCCUACUCAUCCUUUGUGGCUUAACUCCCC